GCUUUCCUGUGGCUCAGUUGGUAGAGCAUUGCGCUAACAACGCAAAGGUUGUGGGUUAAAAUCCUAGAGAAAGCA